ensembl:miRNA
AGAGCUCCUCAGAUCUACUAGCUGACUUCUAUGAGCGUGUUCAGAGGUCUGGGGAGUCUGC